GCUCAGUAAAUCUUUAAUCUGCUUGUCUGCUGAUGGGUGGGGCUGGGUUCCCUCCCUGUUGGUUGUUUGCCUUGAGGAGACCCAACACUGGAGGCUACCAGGCUCUUUGGUGGGGCUAACGGCAGACUCUGGGAGCGCCUACGCUAAGGAGUACUUCCCAGAACUUCUGCUGCCAGUGUCCUUGUCCCCACGGUGAGCCACAGCCACCCCCCACCUCUGCAGAAGACCCUCCAACACUAGCAGAGCCUGCUCACUGCCAAGUGGACUGAUAAAACGGAGGUCUGCAUACACAAGACUGAGAGCCAGUGCUGCCUCUGAGACCACCUUCACCAACACCCUAUGGAGGGCUCACCUAAGGGACUUGUCACUUAUUGUGCUCAAAUCCAUGCCUUGAGUGCCCUCCUACUGAAAUGUGUUCCUCCAGUGAGACCUCUGGACUCUUCUGCCUCAUUAUAAGCUGACCUGCAGUUUUUUCCUUACCUUCACCCAGUCUGAUCUGCUCUCUACCCUCCAAACCCAGUGUGUACUUGAACUCGUCUGCUGUUAGUAGAAGUUCCAAGGCACAAAGGAAGUUGAUAUAUCCCAUUGUUCCUUUCGCUUAUGGUUGGGUUUUCACCAACUGCGUGUCGGUAGAAGUGAUAUAAGCCACCUACAGACUUGGGUCGUUUAAACAUCUUGCGUGAUACAGCAGAUUUCUUUCCCCUGCUACAGCAACCCUGGAAGCCAUAUGAUAAGUUGGUAACAUUCCAAGAUGGGGAAUCUCCAUCAGCCUGGGUCCCUGGGAGAUUAUAUGGAAUAGAGCUCACCCCACUGCACUGUUAUCUAUGUUGGACAUGUAACAUGAGCAAGAAAUAAAUGUUUAUUGUAUCAAGACACUGA